rnacentral:rRNA from 1 species
GAUGAACGCUGGCGGCGUGCCUAAUACAUGCAAGUCGAGCGAACAGAUAAGGAGCUUGCUCCUUUGACGUUAGCGGCGGACGGGUGAGUAACACGUGGGUAACCUACCUAUAAGACUGGAAUAACUCCGGGAAACCGGGGCUAAUGCCGGAUAACAUUUAGAACCGCAUGGUUCUAAAGUGAAAGAUGGUUUUGCUAUCACUUAUAGAUGGACCCGCGCCGUAUUAGCUAGUUGGUAAGGUAACGGCUUACCAAGGCAACGAUACGUAGCCGACCUGAGAGGGUGAUCGGCCACAUUGGAACUGAGACACGGUCCAGACUCCUACGGGAGGCAGCAGUAGGGAAUCUUCCGCAAUGGGCGAAAGCCUGACGGAGCAACGCCGCGUGAGUGAUGAAGGUCUUCGGAUCGUAAAACUCUGUUAUUAGGGAAGAACAAAUGUGUAAGUAACUGUGCACGUCUUGACGGUACCUAAUCAGAAAGCCACGGCUAACUACGUG